CCUACGGGCGGCAGCAGUGAGGAAUAUUGGUCAAUGGUCGGGAGACUGAACCAGCCAAGCCGCGUGAGGGAUGAAGGUACAGAGUAUCGUAAACCUCUUUUGUCAGGGAACAAAGGCGGGGACGUGUCCCCGGAUGAGUGUACCUGAAGAACAAGCAUCGGCUAACGCCGUGCCAGCACCCGCGGUAAUAGGGGGGAUGCGAGCGUUAUCAGGAUUUAUUGGGGUUAACGGGUGCGCGGGCGGUCUGUUAAGUCAGCGGUCAAAGCCCGGGGCUAAACCCAGGCCCGCCGUUGAAACUGGCAGGCUCGAGUUGGAGAGAGGUAUGCGGAAUGCGCGGUGGAGCGGUGAAAUGCAUAGAUAUCGCGCAGAACUCCGAUUGCGAAGGCAGCAUGCCGGCUCCACACUGACGCUGAGGCACGAAAGCGUGGGGAUCGAACAGGAUUAGAUACCCUAGUAGUC
rnacentral:rRNA from 1 species